UGCUCCGGUGGCCGAGUAGUUAUAGCUUCCGCCUCAAAUGUGGGUGGUCGUGGGUUCGAUCCCAGACCUAGUCAU